rnacentral:rRNA from 1 species
GUGCAGCCGCCGCGGUAAUACGUAGGGAGCGAGCGUUGUCCGGAAUUACUGGGUGUAAAGGGUGCGUAGGCGGGACUGCAAGUCAGGCGUGAAAUACCGGGGCUCAACUCCGGGGCUGCGCUUGAAACUGUAGUUCUUGAGUGAAGUAGAGGCAGGCGGAAUUCCUAGUGUAGCGGUGAAAUGCGUAGAUAUUAGGAGGAACACCAGUGGCGAAGGCGGCCUGUUGGGCUUUAACUGACGCUGAGGCACGAAAGCGUGGGGAGCAAACAGGAUUAGAUACCCUGGUAGUCCAUGCCGUAAACGAUGAUAGCUAGGUGUGGGAGGACUGACCCCUUCCGUGCCGGAGUUAACACAAUAAGCUAUCCACCUGGGAAGUACGACCGCAAGGUUAAAACUUAAAUGAAUUGACGG